rnacentral:sRNA from 1 species
GACCGCGGUGUGUCAACCGGACACGAUGGGGAUGGUGAACGCAGGAGUUUUUCCGGUUUCUGCCUGCGGCCAACGAAACGGCAGCCGAGCGCCCGACACGUCCGCCGC